rnacentral:rRNA from 1 species
AGAGUUUGAUCCUGGCUCAGGACGAACGCUGGCGGCGCGCCUAACACAUGCAAGUCGAACGAGCGAGAGAGAGCUUGCUUUCUCGAGCGAGUGGCGAACGGGUGAGUAACGCGUGAGGAACCUGCCUCAAAGAGGGGGACAACAGUUGGAAACGGCUGCUAAUACCGCAUAAGCCCACGGGUCGGCAUCGACCAGAGGGAAAAGGAGCAAUCCGCUUUGAGAUGGCCUCGCGUCCGAUUAGCUAGUUGGUGAGGUAACGGCCCACCAAGGCAACGAUCGGUAGCCGGACUGAGAGGUUGAACGGCCACAUUGGGACUGAGACACGGCCCAGACUCCUACGGGAGGCAGCA